GGCCUAGGGUAGCUUUUUUCUUCUUUCUCUCUCGACUGAUGCCCAGUGAUGCAGCUUCGUUUCUUUUGCACACGGCCAAGUUCGAGAUAACACAAUAAUCAAUAAUAAACCAGAUUGUUGAACCAGUCAUUCAUUGACAGUCGUUUACAGUAAACAAAGGAACAAAAUGAAGACACAAUGUCCAGAUGCAAAAGAACAAAAGAAAAAGAACCUCAUAUGCUGAACAUAAAACUUAAUGGUUUUUAUAUGCUCUUAAAAAAUAAAAUCUUGCGAUACCAGAGUCCUAUCUUUUCCUUCUAUUGGAUCUGACAAGAAUACAAAUAGAAUAGCUUAUGUUCAGGAUUCUAUUUACUGUGCAGUUGCUGUUUGGUCACUGGCUCAAGUUUAUAAAAAGAUUGAUGAUGACCAGGGCAGGAUCAUAAGUUGGGCCAAGCUGAUGAUAGGUAUGUAGCAAUGUUGGAUAUUCAAGUUGGCCUCCUUCAGUCGUAGAGCGACUAUGGUUCAUCUCAAACACUUUUCCAUGUGCAAUGUUGGAUAUGACAGGCAGAUAAAGUAGAAAAGUUCAAAUCCAAUUAAGUCCAGCAUAUGCCCUGCACUCUACAUUCGAUCUUGUCACUGGUUACCCAGCAUACAGAGGCAAAGAAUAUGAACAUUUGCAAAUAAUAAAUGAACACCUUUGCUUUGGAUUCCUCAACUCAAGGAAACAUACCAAUACUAGAACAGUCUUAAAAAAAACAGCAGUGAGGCCAACAACUAGUUAUUUCAGGUUGACAAGGGGUGGGAAUCUACUGGAAUGGUUGAACAAUAACAAUAUCACGCCAACCCCCACUCUAUACUUAUGCAGUCAUUAGUCAAAUCAUUGUUUUAUGAAUGUAGAGCCUUGACACUUUAAGCUGAUUCACAAAUAUGGAUGUGAGUCUCAAGAUUAUUUUUUUGUUUACAUAUCUAAAUAUUUCAUACACUAUGCAUGACACAGAUUUAGAAAAUAAAUAUAAUUAGCUUUAGGAACUAAAGAUCACUAAAAACAGCAGAAGACUGAUACAAAUGGCUCCCGGUCAUUUCAUUCACAGUCACUUCAUCGCAGUCAAUUCAUCUUCGGUCACUUCAUCCCCUGGUCAUUUCAUCUCCUGUUCAUUUCAUCCCCUGGUUAUUUCAUCCGCUAGUCAUUUCAUCCUCUUAUCUACCAAAUAAUAAUUGUAAAAAGUUUGAAAUUAACAGUAUUUCAUUUUAUUUCAUUUACAAGACAAAAAGUGUGACACAUUAAAUAAGAACAGAAUAUAAUGUCAUUAAAAAUAUACAAAUUUAACAUUUAUAGAUAUAGAGCUAAUGUAAAGAUUAUUUUGCAUGUUAAUUGAAAUCAUUUAUAGAUAAAGAGCUAACGUUUAUAGAGCUAAAUUGUUUUUGCAUGUUAAUUGAAAGAUAAGAUAGGCUAUUGAAAGUUGGUACAGAAUACAAUCCAUUGAUUCGUAUUGCUGUACAUUGUUGAUGGUCUAUUUUGUUGAUGAGUAUAUAUAUGUUAAUGGUGCAUGCGAGUCCAUAUGACACAACAACAGAAUGAAUCAAGAAUAUACUUAAUAACGCAGGCUGAUAACUUCAACAAUUUAAUGAACAAUAAAAAGGGCACAGUCCUCUGUCGUUGCUAGCCUAGCGUCGUCCUCCUAGGCGUCUUGUCCGUUAUUCUUCUUGUUCGUCAUCCUACUCUGUUCUUACUCGUCACAUUACUUAGGAAAAACCCGAUUCACAUCAACUUCUACGCAUCUUGUGUCAUUACAUAUUUCCUCCCCCCUUUAUCAAAAAAAAAUUUUGUCAAUUUUUUUUUUCAGUCUAAAACACUAUCCCUACUGUCAUGUCUGUACAAUAUACAUGGCCAAAAUUUUGGGGAAAGACAAAACAAACAUAUAUCUUGAUCUUGAUGGACAUCAUCAUGUUUCCCAUCUUCAUCAGUUCCUGGUGGUGUCCAUGUUCCUAUGUCACAAAGUUCACACUGUAGUUGAAUGUUGACACCAAGAA